rnacentral:rRNA from 1 species
UACGAAGGUCCCGAGCGUUAUCUGGAUUCAUUGGGUUUAAAGGGUGCGUAGGUGGAAUAAUAAGUCAGUGGUGAAAUCUUGCAGCUCAACUGUAAAACUGCCAUUGAUACUGUUGUUCUUGAGUAUAGUUGAUGUGGGCGGAAUAUGUCAUGUAGCGGUGAAAUGCUUAGAUAUGACAUAGAACACCGAUUGCGAAGGCAGCUCACAAAGCUAUUACUGACACUGAGGCACGAAAGCGUGGGGAUCAAACAGG